UCAAUCGAGCCGGAUUCGAACCAGCAACCCAGCUAACAAUAAGUACAGCAGCGACGCUACAGUUCUCCGCUCUACCAGCUGAGCAACAAUAA